rnacentral:tRNA from 1 species
GGGUCGUUGGCGCAGGCGGUAGAGCAUCUGACUUUUAAUCAGGUGGUCGCAGGUUCGAUUCCUGCACGACCCACCA